CCCACGCCAGGGAACUACGAGCCUUAGCUUAAAACCCAAAGGACUUGACGGUGUCCCACCCAACUAGAGGAGCCUGUUCUAUAAUCGAUGAUCCCCGCUUCACCCAACCCCCUCUUGCUUUAUCAGCCUGUAUACCUCCGUCGCAAGUCCGCCAUAUGAAUGCUCUUAAGCGGAUUCAAUGGGUCCCCCCCACCAACACGUCAGGUCAAGGUGCAGCCAAUGAGGGCGGUAAGUAAUGGGCUACAAUUUCUAAUUUAGAACAAACGGAAUACUGUAUGAAAUACAGUUAUGAAGGAGGAUUUAGCAGUAAAAAGAAAGUAGCGUGUUCUUUUUAACACGGCCCUGGGACGUGUACACACCGCCCGUCACCCUC
rnacentral:rRNA from 1 species